rnacentral:rRNA from 1 species
UUCUCUGGAUGAGUUGCGAACGGGUGAGUAACGCGUAGGUAACCUGCCUGGUAGCGGGGGAUAACUAUUGGAAACGAUAGCUAAUACCGCAUAAGAGUAGAUGUUGCAUGACAUUUGCUUAAAAGGUGCAAUUGCAUCACUACCAGAUGGACCUGCGUUGUAUUAGCUAGUUGGUGGGGUAACGGCUCACCAAGGCGACGAUACAUAGCCGACCUGAGAGGGUGAUCGGCCACACUGGGACUGAGACACGGCCCAGACUCCUACGGGAGGCAGCAGUAGGGAAUCUUCGGCAAUGGACGG